rnacentral:rRNA from 1 species
UACGUAGGGCGCAAGCGUUAUCCGGAAUUAUUGGGCGUAAAGAGCUCGUAGGCGGUUUGUCGCGUCUGCCGUGAAAGUCCGGGGCUCAACUCCGGAUCUGCGGUGGGUACGGGCAGACUAGAGUGAUGUAGGGGAGACUGGAAUUCCUGGUGUAGCGGUGAAAUGCGCAGAUAUCAGGAGGAACACCGGUGGCGAAGGCGGGUCUCUGGACGACUCCUGACACUGAGGCACGAAAGCCAGGGGAGCAAACAGG